UAGGGAAUCUUCGGCAAUGGACGAAAGUCUGACCGAGCAACGCCGCGUGAGUGAAGAAAGUUUUCGGAUCGUAAAACUCUGUUGUUAGAGAAGAACAAGGACGUUAGUAACUGAACGUCCCCUGACGGUAUCUAACCAGAAAGCCACGGCUAACUACGUGCCAGCAGCCGCGGUAAUACGUAGGUGGCAAGCGUUGUCCGGAUUUAUUGGGCGUAAAGCGAGCGCAGGCGGUUUCUUAAGUCUGAUGUGAAAGCCCCCGGCUCAACCGGGGAGGGUCAUUGGAAACUGGGAGACUUGAGUGCAGAAGAGGAGAGUGGAAUUCCAUGUGUAGCGGUGAAAUGCGUAGAUAUAUGGAGGAACACCAGUGGCGAAGGCGGCUCUCUGGUCUGUAACUGACGCUGAGGCUCGAAAGCGUGGGGAGCAAACAGG
rnacentral:rRNA from 1 species